rnacentral:rRNA from 1 species
UGGGGAAUAUUGCACAAUGGGCGAAAGCCUGAUGCAGCCAUGCCGCGUGUGUGAAGAAGGCCUUCGGGUUGUAAAGCACUUUCAGUCAGGAGGAAAGGGUGUGAGUUAAUACCUCACAUCUGUGACGUUACUGACAGAAGAAGCACCGGCUAACUCCGUGCCAGCAGCCGCGGUAAUACGGAGGGUGCGAGCGUUAAUCGGAAUUACUGGGCGUAAAGCGUACGCAGGCGGUUUGUUAAGCGAGAUGUGAAAGCCCCGGGCUCAACCUGGGAACUGCAUUUCGAACUGGCAAACUAGAGUGUGAUAGAGGGUGGUAGAAUUUCAGGUGUAGCGGUGAAAUGCGUAGAGAUCUGAAGGAAUACCGAUGGCGAAGGCAGCCACCUGGGUCAACACUGACGCUCAUGUACGAAAGCGUGGGGAGCUAACGGGAUUAGAUACCCCGGUAGUCCACGCCGUAAACGAUGUCUACUAGAAGCUCGGAACCUCGGUUCUGUUUUUCAAAGCUAACGCAUUAAGUAGACCGCCUGGGGAGUACGGCCGCAAGGUUA